GACGAACGCUGGCGGCGUGCUUCAUACAUGCAAGUCAAACGAGAAGCUGACUUCGGUCAGUGGAAAGUGGCGGACGGGUGAGUAAUAUGUAGGAAAUCUGCCUUUAGGAGGGGGACAACAGAGGGAAACUUCUGCUAAUACCCCAUAUGAGCGUAGCUGAAAUGCUAUUCUUGAAAACUCCGGUGCCUAAAGAUGAGCCUGCAUCUGAUUAGCUAGUUGGUAGUGUAAUGGACUACCAAGGCGACGAUCAGUAGCUGGUUUGAGAGGAUGAUCAGCCACAAUCGGAGUGAGGCACGACCCAUACACCUACGGCAGGCGGCGGUAGCGUAUCUUACGCAAUGGGCGAAAGCCAGACGCAGCAUCGCCGCGUGAACCACUGUUCCCUUCGGGGUAUAAAGUUCUAUCAGUCUGGACGCAACUUGACGGUACCCACAGAGGAAGCACCGGCUAACUCCGUG
rnacentral:rRNA from 1 species